ACCCCGAGGAGGUGAAGCGGCGCGCCAUGGCCGACCCCGAGGUGCAGCAGAUCAUGAGCGACCCCGCCAUGCGCCUCAUCCUCGAGCAGAUGCAGAAGGACCCCCAGGCCCUCAGCGAGUGAGUGCGGGCCCCCCCGCGCCCCCCCGGGGGUCCCCACGUGUCCCCAAAGUGUCACACCGGGGUCCCCGGGUGGCCCGGAGGCGGCACCGGGUGGCCCCGGUGCUCCACGGGGGGCCACGGUGGUGUUGCUCGGAGCUGGUGGGGGGUGGUGGGGAGGGUCCCCAGAAUCUCGUGGGGUGCCCCUGGGGGUCCCCAAAGUGUCCCCCCAUGGGUCCCUGAGGUGUCACCAAGGGUCCCCAAAGUGUCCCCACACGUCCCCGAGGUGUCACAGGGGGUCCCCGAGGUGUCCCCAGGGGUCCCCAAAGUGUCCCCACGUGUCCCCGAGGUGUCACAGGGGGUCCCCAGGUGUCCCCAAAGUGUCACACCGGGGUCCCCAGGUGGCCCCGAGGUGGCACCGGGUGGCCCCGGUGCUCCACAGGGGGCCACGGUGGUGUUGCUCAGAGCUGGUGGGGGGUGGUGGGGAGGGUCCCCAGAAUCUCGUGGGGUGCCCCUGGGGGUCCCCAAAGUGUCCCCCCAUGUCCCCGAGGUGUCACAGGGGGUCCCCGAGGUGUCACAGGGGGUCCCCGAGGUGUCCCCGUUGCUCCACGGGGUGCCCCACGCUGUGCUCUGGUCGUCCUGGUGUUGCUCGGAGCUGCUGGGGGGUCGUGGGGAGGGUCCCCAGAACCUCGUGGGGUGUCUCUGGGGGUCCCCAAAGUGUCCCCACAUGUCCCCGAGCUGUCACAGGGGGUCCCCGAGCUGUCACAGGGGGUCCCCGAGCUGUCACAGGGUGUUACUGGGUGUCCCCGGUGCUCCACAGGGUGCCCCACGCUGUGCUCUGGUUGUCCUGGUGUUGCUUGG
rnacentral:lncRNA from 1 species